rnacentral:rRNA from 1 species
UACGUAGGGUCCGAGCGUUGUCCGGAAUUAUUGGGCGUAAAGAGCUCGUAGGCGGUCUGUCACGUCGGCUGUGAAAACCCGAGGCUCAACCUCGGGCCUGCAGUCGAUACGGGCAGACUAGAGUUCGGUAGGGGAGACUGGAAUUCCUGGUGUAGCGGUGAAAUGCGCAGAUAUCAGGAAGAACACCUGUGGCGAAGGCGGCUCUCUGGUACGUGACUGACGCUGAGACGCGAAAGCGUGGGGAGCAAACAGG